AAUGGCAGCAUUCAGAUCUCGGUGGAAAACCUGUGCAGGAUUAGCUAUGCUCUGUUUCCACCCAGCACCAUGGUCCUGAACGACAUUUUUUUCCAGGGGUACCAGGACACUGCCCUUUUCCUGUGCAGGAACAAUGCCUUCGGUGUGAACUACUUUGAUGGCAAUUUCCGCUUUGCCAGCAUGUGUGGGAAGAAUGACUUCCCACAGCCCAACGGGAUGCUGAACGGUCUGGGCAAGUGUGUCCCGCAGUACCUGGCACCGCGCUUCCUCCCAGACCUGGCUCGGUGGAAGAAGCAGCAGAUGUUUAGACUGCAGGAUCCGCUGUCGAAGGUCCUCCUGCAGCCAUACAAGCUGCCAGCAUUUGUCUGGAAGGGGCUGGAGCAGCUGUGGGGGCUGCUGGAAGACAUCAGCUCCAUGGCAAAACAGUUCCAGAAGCUCCUCCGAACAGUGGUGCCUGGUUUGCCUAAGAGAGCUGUGGCCAGGAGGUAACCAUCCCAGGUGGGCCAACACCACACGGUUUUGCCAUCCCAGGAAGCGGUGGACGACAAUGGAGAUCAUUUCACAUGGUUUCAUGGAUGAUAUCCUCAUGGAGUUAUUUGGGGGUGGUUUUUUUCACUUGGAGAAGUGGGCUGAUUUUGUGUUUAGUGCUACUGCACCAGUCUCCCCACCCAGGCCUGACCUGCUUUAACAUGACGGCCAAGGAAAAGCACUGCAUCUGCAGCCAUGCUGCAGUCUGUGCAGGAUGGAUCAGGCAUCUUGCAUGCACAUACAGCCCAACCACUGUUUUCCAUAGCCACUCCACUUGCUGAUUACAAGAAUCAUCCUUCCUCCUCUUCCAAGCCUGCAGAAACAUGCUAAGAUGUAAUUAUUUCAUGACUCAGCAUACAUAUCAGCUGCCUUACACUUUAUUAAGCCCUCAUCUUUUCAAGCAAGCAUACCUGAUGCUGUCUCCUUUGCACAAGUUUAGGGCUAAUGGCACAAAGGAGAAAAUGGGUAAAGUAUAGUAUUUCUUUGAAUCAUCUCAUGCAGGAGCUUUUUUCACCCUGGGAAGGCAAGCUGAAAAACUCAGCUGCACCCAGCCCAAACCAGCUGCAGUAGGUCCUGUAUUUCUCCUGGAAUAGCUCCAUUAAAGGUGGGUGAUGAGAUUCAUAUGUGGCCUCUGGGAAUAUAAGGAGGGUCGUGGCUCUGCCUGUGCUGGUGAUGUUCUGUCAGUGUGCUCUUCAGUGCAACUCAGUGGCUCUCUGCAGGCUGUGUUGUAAGUUGCUCUUUUUUUCUUUAAAACAUGAACUGGGGCCAAAGGCAGCAGCUGUGUCAAAAAUGUUCUUCUGUAGCUGGCAAGGCCCUAAAGGCAGUAAAACCACCUUGGUCAAUUUGACAGACUCUGCUGAUCCUUCUGUAACAAACUGGAUUCAAGCACCUGGUCAGGGCUGCUUCCCUCAUUACUGUUAUCUACAGUGUAAUAAAAUAAACAGGCUUUGAAAUCC
rnacentral:lncRNA from 7 species